AGAUUAAAUGGCUGAUAAAGGCAAUAAAUUGUAAAUUUAUUUAUAAGAAAUUUUCUUUUUAAUCA
rnacentral:tRNA from 1 species